GGACAGCUAUACCAGAGAGGCAAGGGUCAAGAAAAUGAUAGGGCCCGGUGGAACCCUCACCUCUUGGAGUCCAUGCAUUCCUGUUGUUGGAGUGGAGAAGAUGGUCAUUAUGUAUGAGGAUGUCCGAAUCCUGUAAACCCUGGGAGAGCUGAGGAAUGAUUUAAGGCAGCAGGACACUUUGGAGAGACCAGCAUUCUUCAUUCUGCCUAUCAUGAGUUCCAGUCAAAAAGGGGAGAAACAGGAGCUGCCAAAGUCACUGGAGCUAAGCAAAGGUCUAAAGCAGCUGUACCAGCACCAGUUGCUCUGUGAUGCCACGUUAGUGUGUGAAGGAAGGAAAUUCUCCUGCCAUAGAGUACUGCUAGCAGCUGUCAGUCCUUACUUUAAGGAUAUUUUCACAAGCUCCUGCAAAGAAUCCCAGGGUGGAGAAGUUGUGCUGCAGGAUAUGGCUCCUUCCAUCCUCCAAAG